UCUAAAACAAUAUGAUUGUCAAUUAGAAGAUCUUCCAAUAUUUUCAUGACUCCAUAAGAUGUAGUUGGAAAAGAAAGACAAAUCUUAAGCAUGUUAAAGAUUUGGGGUUGUGUGCUAAUAAGCAAUAUUUGUUUGAUAAUAAUCUUGUAGGAUAUCCUUAAAUUAACUUUUGGAUAUCGCUUCUAUAAACCAACUAACAAAUGUUGUUUUGUU
rnacentral:lncRNA from 1 species